GUUUAUGUGUAUGUAGAUAGUAUUCAGCACCAGGGACAGGCAUAUUAGUGUUUGUGUGUGUGUAGAUGGUGUUCAGCACCAGGGACAGGUAUGUUAGUGA
rnacentral:pre_miRNA from 1 species